rnacentral:rRNA from 1 species
GAUGAACGCUAGCGGCAGGCCUAAUACAUGCAAGUCGAACGAGAUUGAUGUAGCAAUAUGACAUGAAAGUGGCGCACGGGUGCGUAACACGUAUGCAAUCUACCUUUGAUAGGGGAAUAGCUUCGAGAAAUCGGAAUUAAUGCCCCAUAACAUAUUUGAGUGGCAUCACUCGACUAUCAAACCUCCGGGGAUCAAAGAUGAGCAUGCGCAACAUUAGCUAGUUGGUGAGGUAAUGGCUCACCAAGGCUACGAUGUUUAGGGGGUCUGAGAGGAUGAUCCCCCACACUGGUACUGAGACACGGACCAGACUCCUACGGGAGGCAGCAGUAGGGAAUAUUGGUCAAUGGAGGCAACUCUGAACCAGCCAUGCCGCGUGCAGGAUGACGGCCCUCUGGGUUGUAAACUGCUUUUAUACGGGAAGAAAAAGAGCUACGUGUAGCUUAUUGACGGUACCGUAAGAAUAAGGAUCGGCUAACUCCGUGCCAGCCGCCGCGGUAA